rnacentral:rRNA from 1 species
GACGAACGCUGGCGGCGUGCCUAAUACAUGCAAGUCGAGCGGAACUGGGGGAGCUUGCUCCUUCCAGUUUAGCGGCGGACGGGUGAGUAACACGUGGGCAACCUGCCCUGCAGAUCGGGAUAACUCCGGGAAACCGGUGCUAAUACCGAAUAGUUAGGCGCCUCUCCUGAGGCGCUACGGAAAGACGGUUUCGGCUGUCCCUGCCGGAUGGGCCCGCGGCGCAUUAGCUAGUUGGUGGGGUAACGGCCCACCAAGGCGACGAUGCGUAGCCGACCUGAGAGGGGGACCGGCCACACUGGGACUGAGACACGGCCCAGACUCCUACGGGAGGCAGCAGUAGGGAAUCUUCCGCAAUGGACGCAAGUCUGACGGAGCAACGCCGCGUGAGUGACGAAGGUUUUCGGAUCGUAAAACUCUGUUGUGAGGGAAGAACACGUACCAACUAACUAUUGGUACCUUGACGGUACCUCACCAGAAAGCCACGGCUAACUACGUGCCAGCCGCCGCAGUAA